GUAAACAGAACUCUAAAAAUGUGAUAAAAUUGAAAGCAAAUGUGAAAAGAAAACGAGUGUGUUUUGGUUUUGUUUUGAGAGGAGAAAAGCGAGAAGGAGAAGGGUCACAAUGAGAAUUGGAAACAUUCAUGAGACGUUUUCCAGAGUGUUUUUGUUCGAAUCAAAAACAAGUUUAAUUUUUUUCCUAUUUGGGCAUACGGGAGGUGGAAUCUGUUGGCGGUCAAG
ensembl:ncRNA R02D5.11 ncRNA